AGUUAACAAACGAAGAACCCUUAACCUGACUAAAUAAGUUUAUGCCAACUUUUGUUGGUAGUCAACUUCUUAGAGGGACUGUCAGCAUCAAGCUAACAGAAGUUUGAGGCAAUAACAGGUCUGUUAUGCCCUUAGAUGUCCUGGGCUGCACACGUGCUACACUGAUGAAGUCAAUGAGUUUAUAACCUUGGCUGGAAGGUCUGGGUAAUCUUUUGAAACUUCAUCGUGCUGGGGAUAGAGCAUUGCAAUG
rnacentral:rRNA from 1 species